CCUACGGGAGGCAGCAUUGGGGAAUAUUGGACAAUGGGGGGAACCCUGAUCCAGCCAUGCCGCGUGUGUGAAGAAUUCCCUCGGGUUGUAAAGCACUUUCAGUGAGGAAGAACGCCUGGUGGUUAAUACCCAUCAGGAAAGACAUCACUCACAGAAGAAGCACCGGCUAACUCCGUGCCAGCAGCCGCGGUAAUACGGAGGGUGCGAGCGUUAAUCGGAAUUACUGGGCGUAAAGCGCGCGUAGGUGGCUUGAUAAGCCGGUUGUGAAAGCCCCGGGCUCAACCUGGGAACGGCAUCCGGAACUGUCAAGCUAGAGUGCAGGAGAGGAAGGUAGAAUUCCCGGUGUAGCGGUGAAAUGCGUAGAGAUCGGGAGGAAUACCAGUGGCGAAGGCGGCCUUCUGGACUGACACUGACACUGAGGUGCGAAAGCGUGGGUAGCAAACAGGAUUAGAUACCCCAGUAGUC
rnacentral:rRNA from 1 species